GUCUACAGCCAUACCACUGAGAAAGCACCGGUUCUCGUCCGAUCACCGAAGUUAAGCUCAGUAGGGCGCGGUAAGUACUUGGAUGGGUGACCGCAGAGCUCGAAGGACCAUUCAUCGUAGCAU
rfam:Nematostella vectensis strain CH2 x CH6 NEMVEscaffold_328_Cont23951, whole genome shotgun sequence.